AUUGAUUUCACAACCCACUAAUGGUUCAUGCC
rnacentral:piRNA from 1 species